CAACCUGGAGAUGGCGACCGGCGCACGGGUGAGUAACACGUAUCCAACCUGCCGAUAACUCGGGGAUAGCCUUUCGAAAGAAAGAUUAAUACCCGAUGGCAUAAUAGAACCGCAUGGUUUGAUUAUUAAAGAAUUUCGGUUAUCGAUGGGGAUGCGUUCCAUUAGGCAGUUGGUGGGGUAACGACCCACCAAACCUUCGAUGGAUAGGGGUUCUGAGAGGAAGGUCCCCCACAUUGGAACUGAGACACGGUCCAAACUCCUACGGGAGGCAGCAUG
rnacentral:rRNA from 1 species